UGUUGCAGGAUGACAACAGUGUUGCUCCUGACAACCAGGAGACCGGAGCAUGAAUGAUCGUGUAAGCAAGUAGUCAAAAUGAGCAAGAGGAAAGUAACAGAAGAUAUCCGGUGCUUUUUUGGUGCAAAAAAGAUGAGAGAAUUACCUAG